rnacentral:rRNA from 1 species
AGAGUUUGAUCAUGGCUCAGGACGAACGCUGGCGGCGCGCCUAACACAUGCAAGUCGAACGAGCGAGAGAGAGCUUGCUUUCUCGAGCGAGUGGCGAACGGGUGAGUAACGCGUGAGGAACCUGCCUCAAAGAGGGGGACAACAGUUGGAAACGACUGCUAAUACCGCAUAAGCCCACGGCUCGGCAUCGAGCAGGGGGAAAAGGAGCAAUCCGCUUUGAGAUGGCCUCGCGUCCGAUUAGCUAGUUGGUGAGGUAACGGCCCACCAAGGCAACGGUCGGUAGCCGGACUGAGAGGUUGAACGGCCACAUUGGGACUGAGACACGGCCCAGACUCCUACGGGAGGCAGCAGUGGGGAAUAUUGCACAAUGGGGGAAACCCUGAUGCAGCGACGCCGCGUGGAGGAAGAAGGUCUUCGGAUUGUAAACUCCUGUUGUUGGGGAAGAUAAUGACGGUACCCAACAAGGAAGUGACGGCUAACUACGUGCCAGCAGCCGCGGUAAAACGUAGGUCACAAGCGUUGUCCGGAUUUAUUGGGUUUAAAGGGAGCGUAGGCCGGAGAUUAAGCGUGUUGUGAAAUGUAGACGCUCAACGUCUGCACUGCAGCGCGAACUGGUUUCCUUGAGUACGCACAAAGUGGGCGGAAUUCGUGGUGUAGCGGUGAAAUGCUUAGAUAUCACGAAGAACUCCGAUUGCGAAGGCAGCUCACUGGAGCGCAACUGACGCUGAAGCUCGAAAGUGCGGGUAUCGAACAGGAUUAGAUACCCUGGUAGUCCGCACGGUAAACGAUGGAUGCCCGCUGUUGGUCUGAAUAGGUCAGCGGCCAAGCGAAAGCAUUAAGCAUCCCACCUGGGGAGUACGCCGGCAACGGUGAAACUCAAAGGAAUUGACGAGGGCCCGCACAAGCGGAGGAACAUGUGGUUUAAUUCGAUGAUACGCGAGGAACCUUACCCGGGCUUGAAUUGCAGAGGAAGGAUUUGGAGACAAUGACGCCCUUCGGGGCCUCUGUGAAGGUGCUGCAUGGUUGUAGUCAGCUCGUGCCGUGAGGUGUCGGCUUAAGUGCCAUAACGAGCGCAACCCCUCUCCUUAGUUGCCAUCAGGUUAAGCUGGGCACUCUGGGGACACUGCCACCGUAAGGUGUGAGGAAGGUGGGGAUGACGUCAAAUCAGCACGGCCCUUACGUCCGGGGCUACACACGUGUUACAAUGGCAGGUACAGAGAGACGGUCCCUUGCAAAACGGAUCAAAUCCUUAAAGCCUGUCUCAGUUCGGACUGGGGUCUGCAACCCGACCCCACGAAGCUGGAUUCGCUAGUAAUCGCGCAUCAGCCAUGGCGCGGUGAAUACGUUCCCGGGCCUUGUACACACCGCCCGUCAAGCCAUGAAAGCCGGGGGCGCCUAAAGUCCGUGACCGUAAGGAGCGGCCUAGGGCGAAACUGGUAAUUGGGGCUAAGUCGUAACAAGGUA